rnacentral:rRNA from 1 species
CCUACGGGAGGCAGCGGUGGGGAAUUUUGGACAAUGGGCGCAAGCCUGAUCCAGCAAUGCCGCGUGCAGGAUGAAGGCCUUCGGGUUGUAAACUGCUUUUGUACGGAACGAAAAAGUCUGCCCUAAUACGGUGGGCCCAUGACGGUACCGUAAGAAUAAGCACCGGCUAACUACGUGCCAGCAGCCGCGGUAAUACGUAGGGUGCGAGCGUUAAUCGGAAUUACUGGGCGUAAAGCGUGCGCAGGCGGUUAUAUAAGACAGAUGUGAAAUCCCCGGGCUCAACCCGGGACCUGCAUUUGUGACUGUAUAGCUAGAGUACGGUAGAGGGGGAUGGAAUUCCGCGUGUAGCAGUGAAAUGCGUAGAUAUGCGGAGGAACACCGAUGGCGAAGGCAAUCCCCUGGACCUGUACUGACGCUCAUGCACGAAAGCGUGGGGAGCAAACAGGAUUAGAUACCCUGGUAGUCCACGCCCUAAACGAUGUCAACUGGUUGUUGGGUCUUCACUGACUCAGUAACGAAGCUAACGCGUGAAGUUGACCGCCUGGGGAUACGGCCGCAAGGUUGAAACUCAAGGAAUUGACGGCUGNGAGNGCGAGAGACGACGAGGAG